rnacentral:rRNA from 1 species
GGGAGAAAGCAGGGGACCUUCGGGCCUUGCGCUAUCAGAUGAGCCUAGGUCGGAUUAGCUAGUUGGUGGGGUAAAGGCCUACCAAGGCGACGAUCCGUAACUGGUCUGAGAGGAUGAUCAGUCACACUGGAACUGAGACACGGUCCAGACUCCUACGGGAGGCAGCAGUGGGGAAUAUUGGACAAUGGGCGAAAGCCUGAUCCAGCCAUGCCGCGUGUGUGAAGAAGGUCUUCGGAUUGUAAAGCACUUUAAGUUGGGAGGAAGGGCAGUAAGUUAAUACCUUGCUGUUUUGACGUUACCAACAGAAUAAGCACCGGCUAACUUCGUGCCAGCAGCCGCGGUAAUACGAAGGGUGCAAGCGUUAAUCGGAAUUACUGGGCGUAAAGCGCGCGUAGGUGGUUUGGUAAGAUGG